UGCGACGGUGCAGAACUCGUAAAUCGUCUACUAAUUAUACCUAUCCGUUUUUAGUAUCAAAAAAGUGUAUCGUCAAAAGCGAUCAUCAUUAAUGGUAUAACAUCAUUCUAGAUGAAUCAAAGAUAAAUUGCGAGUGGUGCGGCGGUUUGUGAUAAAUGAAUUAAAUCUCGUGUAAAAUGUCUCUGCAUUGUUGGGAUUGUUGGAUAAAUUUUGUUGUAGGAUGGGAUUUCAUAUUCCGUGACCCGGUCAGCCGGCCCGGUCGCUCGUGAAAUAAAGGUGAAAGCAGAUCGAACGAAAAGAUGAUCAAAAGCUGUGUAGUUCUUCGCACGUCGAACAAGUAUGGCCAGAGUAUAAUAAAUACCCUUCCACCCACGUUCUCCGUACAUAGUAGGUACAUAGCUUGUAUAUUUUUCCUUACUUUAUUUUAUCCAUUUAUUAAUUUUUUUCAUUUCAUGUUGGCACUGCAUAUUCACGCCUCGCAGUUCUCCGGACUUGUAAUUUUUUUCAAACAAUCACACUCAUACUGCAGUAUUGCAUCCGUACCGGGAGAUUUUCAGUUUUCCAACAAUCGAACAAUGCACGAUGAGGAACGAUGAUUACCUCGGCGCAUUGCACGCCCACACGAUAAUUAUUCGGUCCAGCGAACACCGAAGUUAUGAAGAACUCUUCCCCGCAUUGAUUCUACGUUGGUAAGGUAUAUUGUUCAUCAUCAUUGAUACAAUACCAUACAAUUAUUAAUAUAUUCACACAUCGCGUAUUUAUAAUAUGCGGCAUCUCGCAUGCGAUAGUGUAGCGAUACUUUUUAAUUAUCAAUGAUUUUCGUUCUUAUCCUUUUGUUUUUAAUACAUAUGUAUAUUUUUCUUCGAGCGUUUGUUCUAAUCGUGACUUUAUAUUAUUAUGUAUAAUAAAAUGCCCUUGGCAUAGUAACUCUUAAUUGGAAGUUGCCGUAUAUCAACGCAAUUGACAAAUUGUGUAUGUAUGAGAAUUUUUCCCCUAACAAUAAGUAUUACACCGUACAGUCGAACCAAUGAAGAAACACAGGAGCUCGUGUUCAACCACCACAUCACCGGCGUUGCGUAAUCUGCAAAAGUCCCCUCAAAUUAUACAUAUGUAUAUCUCCUAUGCAGGAUAUUAUGUCUGUAAACCUCGCACGAAAUUUGUCACCAUUAUAUGGGUGUUAAAAUUCAUUGUUCGUAGAGUCUCAAAAUAUAUUUAAAAAAAAUUCUAAUGAAAUUUUACCUGCGAUGUGUUUGAAAAAAUGUUGUGUUAUUUUUUUAUUAUUGUUCGUUUUUCUCUUACGCUCGACAUUGUGAGACGUGAAUCUAUGAAUGAUAUGAAUAAAUAGUUUUUCUACCGCAGAGUUAUCGGAAUAACACCGACAGGCUUCGACUGCAUUACGACAUUCCGUUAUCAUUGGUACGGUAAUUUAUCGAAAAAAAUGUUGUUCCCAGCUGCGGUGUGUUGAGAAAAAAAUUUGACAAGAUUCACGAAAUUAGUAAAAACGGCGUUAUUCUGGUUGACUGAUAUUACCAAGCUAUAAUCAGCUUGUGAAAAUGACGGGAAAUUAUGCGGAGGAAAUAUCACGUGGCUUCUAG
rnacentral:misc_RNA from 1 species